rnacentral:rRNA from 1 species
ACAGAGGGUGCAAGCGUUAAUCGGAAUUACUGGGCGUAAAGCGCACGUAGGUGGCUUGGUAAGUUGGAUGUGAAAUCCCCGGGCUUAACUUGGGAAUUGCAUUCAAGACUGCCUUGCUAGAGUGUGGAAGAGGGAAGCGGAAUUCCAGGUGUAGCGGUGAAAUGCGUAGAUAUCUGGAGGAACAUCAGUGGCGAAGGCGGCUUCCUGGUCCAACACUGACACUGAGGUGCGAAAGCGUGGGGAGCAAACAGG